rnacentral:antisense_RNA from 1 species
CUUCAUCGAGCCGAGCAGCAGCGGCGCCCCGGCGGGCCGCUCCCGGCCGUAGGUGGCGAAGAGCGCCUGAGCCUC